AGAUGAGCUGCCUUUACCUGCGAUUCAGGCUCCCACCUGAUGCUCAGAACAGCCUCCCAGAAGCUGCCUCCAGUAGAGCCUUUGGGGCCAUAUAGGCCUGAAUCCCAAUCAAGUCACAGGGGUUGGUGGAGUCUCUCUCUGGUGCAGACGUUCCGUUCCAGAGCCUUCGGUACAAGCUCGGACAGAUGAAAAGCUGUGUGUAAAGAACAAGCUUUCUGCAGAAGUGGAGAAUCCGGCCUGGCCUUCCCCAGCAGCCCUUCCCGGCUUCCAGUGGCCCCUCCUCCUGGGAACAAAGGACGAUGGAAAAGCCCGUGGGUGGAAGGAAGGCCCAGACCCCAGAGGAGGAAGUGCAUUCACUGAAGGACACACCCAAAGGAGAGAAAGCGUCGUCUGGGGAGGAAAGGCCAAGCAAGAGGUCCACGUUGGCAAAAAAGCACGGCAAGGAACCCAGCCCGAGUCCUGAGGAUGAGGAACAUUUAUUUGAUGCCUUCGAUGCUUCGUUUAAAGAUGACUUCGAGGGGGUUCCCGUGUUCAUUCCUUUUCAGAGAAAGAAGCCCUAUGGGUGCAGCGAGUGUGGACGCAUCUUUAAGCAUAAGACAGACCACCUCCGCCACCAGCGGGUUCACACUGGAGAGAAGCCCUUCAAAUGUGAUCGGUGUGGGAAGCUGUUCAGGCACAGCUCUGACGUCACCAAGCACCAGAGAAUCCACACCGGAGAGAAGCCCUUUAAAUGCAGUGAAUGUGGGAAGGCCUUUAACUGCAGUUCAAAUCUCCUAAAACAUCAGAAAACGCACACUGGGGAGAAGCCGUACGAAUGCAAGGAAUGUGGGAAAGCCUUCGCCUACAGCUCAUGUCUCAUUCGCCAUCGGAAACGCCACCCGCGGAAGAAGCACUGAGCGUGGGGAAGCCGUCUGCCGAGAGUCGGCGUUCGCGCCCGUGAGAACCAUCCAGGGCGGGCCUGUCCCGCCGUCCCCCAUCCAACGUCUGAUGGAGGCCGGGGGCCCGCGGGCUGUGCGCUCAGUGCACCUGUGCUUGUGGGUCUCCACCACCAUCCGGACGGUCAGCCCAGCCCGGUACACACGUGCUGGACUGGGGUACAGGCCAUCUCCAGGUCAAGACACCGUGAUAACAUGGGAGGAGACGCGUGCAGCUGCGGCACCAGAGACAGUGAGUGUGAUUGUGUCACGGCCGUCUGGGCGGGAGGGACAGCUGGAGCUUGCGAGCGGCCCAGCACCUCUCCCUGCGGCCUCCCUGUGGCACCUGCUCUGGUCUCUGCCUUUUCACCUGCUCCUUCGAAGACUUCAGGCUGCAGACUGCUGACCUGCUGGGUCCCGAGCCUAUCCCUGCACAGCCUGGCAGGAGGCCUGCGGUCAGGUCCCCACGGCGCUGCACCAGACACCUGCUGUCCCCACUCGGCUGGCCGUGGUGACAGUCCUGUGGUUUGUGUCUGGCUUCCCUCCUUGGGCUGGAGCACCAGUCCUGGGACUCCGCUUCCCCUUCCCCCACUGCAUCCCCAGGAACUGGACCCCCUGGCCCAGCCCCCAACCCCGGGUGAGCAGCCCGACUCACCCAGAUGGACCACUCAGGACCUAGAUGCUGCCACCAUGGGAGAUUCCUGCCCUGGACGCGUGGUGGGGGCCCCAAGGAUGUGAGGGCAGCUUCGAGCCAGCCUGCAUCUGCCGUGGGGGUCUUCAGACAUGAGGCAGUGUGUGUGCCCUGCCCUCCGGGGAUCAGCUCUCCAGGGCCAGCAGGACAGAUCCCCAGAAAGGGAAUCGACAGGUGGAGACCAUUCUGGCAAAUCCCCUCCUCCUGGCCAUGCCAGAUGGGCGCCCCCACAGCCCAAGGACGGCAGGCUUGCCCCGGCCUCUCCAGCAGCAGGCAGGUGGG